rnacentral:rRNA from 1 species
AUUGAACGCUGGCGGCAGGCUUAACACAUGCAAGUCGAGCGGGGUGAUGGUGCUUGCACUAUCACUUAGCGGCGGACGGGUGAGUAAUGCUUAGGAAUCUGCCUAUUAGUGGGGGACAACAUCUCGAAAGGGAUGCUAAUACCGCAUACGUCCUACGAGAGAAAGCAGGGGAUCACUUGUGACCUUGCGCUAAUAGAUGAGCCUAAGUCGGAUUAGCUAGUUGGUGGGGUAAAGGCCUACCAAGGCGACGAUCUGUAGCGGGUCUGAGAGGAUGACUCGGCACACUGGGACUGAGACCCGGCCCAGAAUCCUACGGGAGGCAGCAGUGGGGAAUAUUGGACAAUGGGGGGAACCCUGAUCCAGCCAUGCCGCGUGUGUGAAGAAGGCCUUAUGGUUGUAAAGCACUUUAAGCGAGGAGGAGGCUCUUUUGGUUAAUACCCAAGAUGAGUGGACGUUACUCGCAGAAUAAGCACCGGCUAACUCUGUGCCAGCCGCCGCCGUAA